CAAAUGGUAGGCAAAGGAAAUUAUAAAACAUUUUUUUUACUAAUCUACUCAUCAAUUAAACUUUUGCUGACAUUUGUCAUUCCUGGGAUUCCACACUUGUCCAAACCUCUGACAAUUAUAACAUCUCAAUGGUUAAUUAUUGUGUACUGUGUAGCCACAGCUAACUUUUGAAGGAGUAUUCACUCAGGCCACUUUAAAUGCAACCCAAUGACUGCCAUCGUGCCCCAAGAUUGGGUUUUUAUUAGGAGGACAUGACAUGAAGCCCAUCGGACCCCAUGCGGAGGAGACUACUAGAUUCUACUGAGGUCCCAGGACAUCUGUGAGGUGGGCUGAGAUAAGAACCCAUGCCCUUCAGGUCUCAUGCAAAAACUGACCCACAGCUAUGAGAGUAUUCUACUCCCAAGGUGCACUAUGCCAAGUAGUUUGCCAGUAAUCACUGUGUACAGUGGCUCGGUUCAAAUCUAGGCCAAAGUUCUACAUUUGUUAGAGUUUAGGAUCAGUAAUGGCAAAGCCUUAAGUCAAUAGUGGCGAUAUACCAUCCUGUUUGUGGAGGGGGAGAGGGAAGGAAAGUGAAGAGGAGUUGGGAGUUCUAGUUACUCAAACAUUGGUGGCUAAUAUUUAUGUCAAUCGAGAGUGUGGCGCUUAAGAAUGUGACCGGAUGAAAAACAAUCCAUAGACUGCAUUAGAAAUCGCAAGGGAUACAUAGUGAUACAUAGGUACUACACAGGGCGACGCAGGUAGUGUCAGCAUGUUGGUGGUGUGUGUUGCUGUGAUCUUCAGCCUGGUCUCGGUGAGUCAGACGGCUCCUUCUUCUCAAGACUGCGAGAAACUCCUCAAACCCCUGGACAUGGAGACCAAUGAUCUGCUCCUAGGGAAUUGGUCUUUGGUGGCUGUCAGCAACAAUCGACCAGGCGCCAGGACUCUAAGUGAAGUUCUGUUAAUUAACGCCCGAUGGGACAUUGUACGCUGGGAAAAGAGCGACGUACUGAAAAGCACCAUUUGUGUGAAAUAUCCCGAUAGGACCACUGGGCCAAGAAAUAACAUCUCUUUGCUGAUUAGUGAAAAAUGUCUCAGUUACAGUUUCAACAUGACUCUUGAAGACAACAAGCUUAGCUGGAUGUCCGGAGUGCCUUCCACUGCCAUUUUCCUGCCCACUUGUCCAGACUGUCUUUUGACCCAGACUACAACCUCCAUCAAUGGAAACACCUACAUCUCUCUGGAACUCUACAGUGAAAGAAGGGAACUCACUACUGAUGAACUCUCUCAGUUUAAAACACAGGUUGAAUGUCUCAAAAUGCCACCUGUGUAUUUCAUCAACACAACAACAGAGCUCUGUCCAGACACCUCUAAACCAUUUCCAGACAUGGAUGACUUGCAGAAGUCUGUAAUGGAAUUCAUGGAGAUAGAUGCAGUCAAGAAUAUAUUGAGAAAAACAGACCAUUUCUUUGAGAAGAACAGCGCAGCUGUGAUAAACUUUAUUGAACGUUUAGGUGAAUUACUUGAUAAACUGUCAGACUGGAUCAUUUCUUUCCUGUAGGUUUCAAACCAACCCUAAAAUUACUUACCUGAUUCAGCUAGCCAAUGUCUUUAUGACCUGCCAGUGUGUACAAUCAGGUGUGUUCAAUUGCAUGUCAUCUUUAAGAACCAUUUUAUCUUUGAAUCUGGCCACAAACGAUUCUACUAAUAUAAAAUUAAAGGCAUUAUACCAACCCAGUCUCUUCUGUUUGUUGCCUUUAAAAGGAUUGCAAGACUUGUAAGACUGAAAGUGUGUAUCUUGUUGCCAGAAGCUAAACAAGCACUUCAUUGGACAAGCAUUCCAUUUGUCCCUAAAAUUAAUUAUUUCUACGUACUGUUUGUCAAAUGUAGACAGAUUAUUGGGUCUUCCACUGCAUGACAUUUAAAAGAUAUAACUUUUGGCAAGUUAAUAGUAAUACUAUCUACUGUAUAGAACAAAAUAAAGUGCAACCAAAAGACACUUC
ensembl:lncRNA